GCCGGUCGAUAUCACAAACUGGCGUGAGCGGAACGAAAACAACAACACCUAAAAUGUGGAAUAUAGCAUAUAGUCGACAAGAGAAAUCUACGAAAAAACAAACAAAACUUUCAACAACGGAUCUCUUGGUUCUCGCAUCGAUGAAAAGCGGCACCGAAAUGCGAUACCUAGUGUGAAUUGCAGCCAUCGUGAAUCAUCGAGUUCUUGAACGCACAUUGCGCCCCUCGGCAUUCCGGGGGGCAUGCCUGUUUGAGCGUCGUUUCCAUCUUGCGCGUGCGCAGAGUUGGGGGAGCGGAGCGGACGACGUGUAAAGAGCGUCGGAGCUGCGACUCGCCUGAAAGGGAGCGAAGCUGGCCGAGCGAACUAGACUUUUUUUCAGGGACGCUUGGCGGCCGAGAGCGAGUGUUGCGAGACAACAAAAAGCUCGACCUCAAAUCAGGUAGGAAUACCCGCUGAACUUAAGCAUAUAUAAAGGCGGAGGA
rnacentral:rRNA from 1 species